CCUACGGGAGGCAGCAGUGAGGAAUAUUGGUCAAUGGGCGCGAGCCUGAACCAGCCAAGUCGCGUGAGGGAAGACGGUCCUACGGAUUGUAAACCUCUUUUGUCGGGGAGCAAAAGACGCCACGCGUGGCGUUCCGAGAGUACCCGAAGAAAAAGCAUCGGCUAACUCCGUGCCAGCAGCCGCGGUAAUACGGAGGAUGUGAGCGUUAUCCGGAUUUAUUGGGUUUAAAGGGUGCGCAGGCGGAAGAUCAAGUCAGCGGUAAAAUUGAGAGGCUCAACCUCUUCGAGCCGUUGAAACUGGUGUUCUUGAGUGAGUGAGAAGUAUGCGGAAUGCGUGGUGUAGCGGUGAAAUGCAUAGAUAUCACGCAGAACUCCGAUUGCGAAGGCAGCAUACCGGCGCUCAACUGACGCUCAUGCACGAAAGUGUGGGUAUCGAACAGGAUUAGAUACCCUAGUAGUC
rnacentral:rRNA from 1 species